CUUUCACUUUCAGAAAUACCCUCCCACCACCGCUCUCACACACUCGAGCUCACUCUCUCGUCCCCCCUCUCACCCGCCCCUUCUCGCUCUCCUCCAGAUCCCCGUCGUCGCCGGCCUCUCCUCGCCGCCGUCACCGCCCUCUCCUCGACUCCCUUUCUCUUCACCACCACGCACCCCGUUUCCUCCUACCGCGCACCCCGUACCGUAGGUCAAAAGCUUGAUUUUUUAGGCGCCGGCGACGAGCUUCUGGGCGGCGGAGGCUGGAUCCGCGUGCGUCCACGCCGGCUUCGCAGCGGCGCUUGAUGUGGAGCGGCGCUGGAGCAGCGGAGCGGGGCUUUCUUCCUCACCUCACAGCGCCGUCCUCCUCCACGACCACGCAGCCGCAGCGGCGGAGGAGCCGAAUCCCUAGCCAGCGAGCUCAGGGAGCCAUGGGUCCAUGGGGCGACGCCAUGGAAGGGCCACCAAAUACAGCAGCGAGGAGAGGAGAAAGGGAGUAGCCUGAUGACGGUCGUCUUCCACCUCCGCCUACGCCCCCGCCCUCCACCUCCACCCACGCCCCCGCCGGAAAUAGUACAAUGGCCAAGGAAAUAGGCAGGAGGCGCCGCUUCCCGGAUGGACAUGGACAUGCUUCUCCAACUCUGCUUCUUCCUGGGUCGCCAUGGAAGAAAGCAGUAAGAAUCUAAGAAAGCCGAAGCCUUCCAGCACACUGCAGCAAUAAGAAGAGCGCAAGUCGAACAGGGACACAGCUCACACACUACGGUGGACAGAAAGGUAACUACAUUGCUGAAACAGUUGAUGAUGGCAAACCUAGGGCAUGAUGGUCACCGAACAAAGGUGGAUCUCCGUCCUUUGCAGCAACAGCCGUCGCCUCGCAACAGCCGUCGAGCGAAGGUUGUGGUUCGGACGCCGAGGUUGCGGUGCAGUUGUGCUGAUCGCACAGCUGGCCUCGCGUGUGAACAACGAUGUGGACUGACGGCUGACUGAAGUGCCGUUUCUCUUCUCGGCGCAUGCGCGGGUCGGGUCGAUGGAGCUGGUGCGUGAGGAAGAACUGGCGUCGAUGGAGCUCGUAUGCGAGGAAGAACCGGCGUUUCUGUCCCUGGUGGCGACGUGCGUUGGCGGGUCGAUGGAGCUAGUUCGAUGGUUUGAUUUUUGGUCGAUGGACCUCGUUCGUGGGUUGCCGAACUGUUUUGUUUGUUGGCUGGGCAUGUGAUCGUGGGGUUUGGCUCGUUUGACGGUGGUCCAUGGGCUGAAUAUCGGAUGAGUUGCCCUUGAUUUUUUGGGCUUGCGGGCUGGAUUUUGUGUGGAGGUGUGGGACA